rnacentral:rRNA from 1 species
CCUACGGGAGGCAGCAGUGAGGAAUAUUGGUCAAUGGACGAGAGUCUGAACCAGCCAAGUAGCGUGAAGGAUGACUGCCCUAUGGGUUGUAAACUUCUUUUAUAUGGGAAUAAAAUGUUCCACGUGUGGGAUUUUGUAUGUACCAUAUGAAUAAGGAUCGGCUAACUCCGUGCCAGCAGCCGCGGUAAUACGGAGGAUCCGAGCGUUAUCCGGCUUUAUUGGGUUUAAAGGGAGCGUAGGUGGAUUGUUAAGUCAGUUGUGAAAGUUUGCGGCUCAACCGUAAAAUUGCAGUUGAAACUGGCAGUCUGGAGUAGAGUAGAGGUGGGCGGAAGUCGUGGUGUAGCGGUGAAAUGCUUAGAUAUCACGAAGAACUCCGAUUGCGAAGGCAGCUCACUGGACUGCAACUGACACUGAGGCUCGAAAGUGUGGGUAUCAAACAGGAUUAGAUACCCGAGUAGUC